rnacentral:tRNA from 1 species
GGAGAGAUGCCGGAGUGGUCGAUCGGGGCGGUCUCGAAAACCGUUGUACCUUUUCAGGUACCCAGGGUUCGAAUCCCUGUCUCUCCG